GAUGAACGCUGGCGGCGUGCCUAAUACAUGCAAGUCGAGCGAAUGGAUUAAGAGCUUGCUCUUAUGAAGUUAGCGGCGGACGGGUGAGUAACACGUGGGUAACCUGCCCAUAAGACUGGGAUAACUCCGGGAAACCGGGGCUAAUACCGGAUAAUAUUUUGAACUGCAUGGUUCAAAAUUGAAAGGCGGCUUCGGCUGUCACUUAUGGAUGGACCCGCGUCGCAUUAGCUAGUUGGUGAGGUAACGGCUCACCAAGGCAACGAUGCGUAGCCGACCGGGGAGGGUGAUCGGCCACACUGGGACUGAGACACGGCCCAGACUCCUACGGGAGGCAGCAGUAGGGAAUCUUCCGCAUGGACGAAAGUCUGACGGAGCAACGCCGCGUGAGUGAUGAAGGCUUUCGGGUCGUAAAACUCUGUUGUUAGGGAAGAACAAGUGCUAGUUGAAUAAGCUGGCACCUUGACGGUACCUAACCAGAAAGCCACGGCUAACUUCGUGCCAGCCGCCGCGGUAA
rnacentral:rRNA from 1 species